CAAACGGAAGACCAGCAAAUUUUUAAAGAAUGUGUAGUCCAGAUCCGGGUGAGUAACUCAGCGUAACAAUACUAAGUGUCCA
rnacentral:misc_RNA from 1 species